GUCAUCAGUUUAAGAAGGCUAUCGGUGAUAGCCUGUCCUGUAACAGUAAGGACAAAGGACUGGUCAGCAUUCUGCCAGGUAGACGGACUUUCACACUAUGGAGAACAGAAAGUCAAAAGGGAUUUGGCACUUACUGCUUCAGAUGCCACUGUGAAUGGAAGGGGCGCGUUGAUCGCUUCUGCUGCAGCUGCUAUUGGUGGUGGAUACUGAAGCCUAAAUCUCCACAACAGAGCUGCUUGUAUUUGAUUCUCCUUUCUAGCACACUGCCAGGGGAGGUGGCUUCGGCUCUUCCCCUUUCCUAAGUGAGCUUCCCUUUUCCUGAGCUAGACGAGGUAAGCUGAGGCUCUUGAUAGCAAAUCAGAGCAGGAGGGACCACUGAGGAUACGUCCAGCUCCUCAAAGAAUGCAGACCUUGAGCUCAUCCCAUCGUUUCUGCCCAUUGCUUUUCACUCAGCUAUUGCAUAAGUCUGUGGGUAACAUUCACGCAGCAAAAAAUUCCCACAUUUCAGAACCGAACAUCGAUUGCAUCAGAUUCAGCUCUGAGUACCCAACAGCAGAUUCUCAAGAGGGCUGAAAAUCCACAGCUCUUCAUUCAAGCACUGCUCAGCACCUCCAACGAGCAAAAGCUCCGUAAGCACCGCAUAUCGGGAGCUCAAAAACAGAAGCAACUUUAAGAGCAGCUGAAGGACUUAUUUCAAAGCACAUUUAGGAUAAGCAACAGCUGCGUGCUCUGAAUUGCUGUCACACAUCUAAUUCAGUAGGCAGGCAUCUUCCUGUAUGAGAAACCAUGUGUGACCGAGGCCUAAAUCAGCAAACGUAGCAUCUGGAGGUCUCAGAGCCUUCCUUCUUUCCUAAUUGGACUAUCUAGGUCCCAGACAAAGAGACACAUGUGCAACACCAUGAACAUUUAAGUCCUAAUUAGAAACAUCCUUAAAAUGUGGAGUAGCUCAAAUCUAACCGCUGUGGUUUAGACACCUUCCUAAUUUAUGCUAAGAACAUGUGUCAUCCAUUUUGUCAUACCAAUCAAAAGGUACUUGAAAGCAAAUAAAUGCAGGGCUAACCUCAAGCAUUUACGAGUUUGGAUGUAUAGCCAGAAGUUGAAUAGUGAGGGGAAAGCCAUCUGAACUGCCCACGGCUGCUGAAAUUGCAAACAACAGUUACAAGAAAUGAUUCAGCUUUGAGCCCAGACUUCAAAACGGAGAGCAGAGAAACAAGCCAGGCUGAAUUUCUUUUGUUAAACUGCUGGAGCUGAUCAGACAGUUCAGAUCAGAUGCGAUCUGCUGUCCUCCAUUAUCUACUUCCCAUUCUUCCCCUUGCAGGACGUGGGAGUAAAAACAGCCUUCAUAGGUGAGCCUCAAUUUAUUGGGAGUGUUGGUUUCUCUGCCCUCCACUCCAAACAAAACUCAAUCUGAUGGUUGCUUUCAUACUUCUUUCUUAAAGACAAACCAAACCAAAGUAAUGAUUGAAGACUAUUCAGCGUCUUUGUUUUGUAAAGCAGAACAGAAGUCUGAACUUACAGUAAAUUUCUACCUCUGUUCAUUAGCUCCCAAUGGUAGAAAUAACACCCUUGCAGAAUCCUCAAUACCUCACAAAUUACAGUAAUCUGCAAUUAUAAACUACAGUGUUAAUGAGGUUUGAUUGCCUACUAUUUGUGAUGCCACCCAUAAAUGCCACUUACAUUUUACAGCAGAUUGAAGUUAACAAUCUGUUUUGAGAAGAUCACUAAUAGCCAAAUGGACUUUUAUGAACACCUUUUGUGAUUUCAAUUUGCUACCUAGAAACCAAACACGGCCACGGAGCAUUUAUCCUCAUCACAGAACUGAAUCCAUUUGAUUCCUCCCUAUGAUUUCCCUUCAGUCCUGAUACUGAUCUUUAUGCAGGAGGGCCAGUUUUCUUAAUUAAGGAGAGUGGCAUCUGAAUUUUCAUGCUUGACCUUCAAUCAACAGUAUUUUGGUAAGUGUCUACAAGGACUAAUUGUGUCAUUCAUAUACUGAAGGGAUAAUGUGCCUUGCAGUGCAAUACAGAAGGCAAUAAACAGCUUUUACAAGAGAUUAAACGCCCAAGCACAGCUAAAGCGUUCAGAUAACUGGCAAAAGCCAUUUAUUGGCACUGCUCUGAUGCCAAAAAAACACUCAUCUUACACUGCUCUGCUAAAAAAAAAACAGUUAAAGAAACUGCAAAAGAAAAGCUCUAAGGAUGACAGAGAGAUGUGCUGUUUUCACAGGCAGAUUCAAUUUACUGAAGAAGGGAAAUCCUGGACUGAUUGACUCGAGAUAAAGCAGAAAUUGUGCUUUUCUCAGUGGCAGCACUGACACAAUCUGAACUGUCCCAGGAUGUCAACCAGAGAAAGCAAUGCUUGGGGUGUUAAGGGACUCUGUGAGCCAAACUGUACCGUGAUUCUGUAGGGGCUUAAAAGUAGCUGGUAAAAUAUGCAGACAAGUUGCCACAGACAGGAGGAAAUGAAAGACCAAAAAAUUAAGUCUCAUUUAGUGAAUGUGUUUCAUCAUGCUUGUCUCAGCAAUGGAUGGCAAUUAAAACCUGCUGGUAAAGGCAGGAUGGAGCGCACAGCAUCCAGGACAGCAGGGUCACACUGCCAGCCCCAGCCCUGCAAGCAGCAGCUCUGCUGUGAGUCUCUGCAGCCGUGUGCUUCACAGGCACCCCGAGCACUGCUGAGGAUGCACAGAGGGUUGUGGAGCCAUCCACGCUUCUGAGCAUCUGCAGUUCCACACUGCCAUAGAGGUGAGUGGCUGAAAAGCAGGGCUUGGUUCCUUUAGGGUGUUGUGAACUGGGACUAAAACGCACAGAGAAACUCAUUGUCCUCCUCCCCAAGAGGUUUCUCCAGCCUUUAAAACUGACAACUAAACAACCUUUGGACAGCCAAAGCUCUGCAGAGCCACGAGCUUUUGCUCCGUGCCCUCCGCCAUGCAGCAGUUUCACUCCCAUUUGGCCUCCACUCACAAACACAGCAGAGAAAUGCUCUGUGAGAUGCUCAAACAUGGGGAUUCCUUGCUUUUUCUUCCACAAAACCUAUCUGCAUUUAACUUUCAGACCUCUGGGAAGAGGCAGUCCAAUCUUUGCUUCUUUAGCAGGUUCUCACUUGUACGCCACAACCAGAAGGGAAUUAAUGCACCCCCUGAAGAACGCAGGGACAUAAACUGCCAGAGAAUAUUAACACAGAUAAGGAGCUAUUAGAACGAACCACAGUGCCAAAACAACAGACCUUCAACGUGGGUGACACCGAGAUAACAAAACUAAAAGGACGCAUUAAAGCUAUAUCCCUUCAAAAAAUUAAACAAAUCAGUUUUAUAAUGAUAGGCACUUCAGAAAGCUUAUGUUUGAAAGUCUAAGGGCAAGUCAAUAAGGCAUAGCUAAUUGGAGAACAAAUUGACAUUCAUAAGCUGGUGUUUAACACAACGAUGGUAAACAAGGUAAUAGACAGUUAAUGCAGCAGACAAGGGUGGUGAACAGAAGCAAUCGAGGUCGAAUAAUGGAAAGGGACCAAUUGAGCAAAUUCGAAGGGCAAACAUUCAGAUUUCAGCCUGCUUAGCAGGACUCACCCACAAGCUCAGCGCCCUGAGAGGCUCUGUGGGGUUGUUGUCUUUAGAGAAGGAGUGUGUCAACCACAAAAAAGAGAAGAAAUCUACAUAAAGGUAAAUGAAUCCGGGUUACUAAGUGCACAUAGUGAUAACGUUCAGGUGGGUAAAUACUAAUGGCUGCUCAGCACCGAUAGACAUCUGAAAUAACAGCGAGCAAUCAACACAUUGGCCAGAGCAUUACUUAAUGCUGUGUUAUCUUAAUAUACAAAUUACAAGGAGUCACAAACCAAAGGAGUGCCGGGAGCUCAGCUCUCACUGACAGCCCUCUGCUCUUACAGGGUGAGCUGUGCUGUGUGCUGUGCAGACAGAGCACGUUUGGGAGGACUGCUGGGACCUCUUUCUCAUACACAGACAGAUAUCCUGUCCAAUAGACAUCUUCUUGGUUAUGGGAUUCCCUCCUGAUUCUGAGUUCUAGACCUACAAUUCAAAGUGUCUGUAACUGAUGACAAGGAACUCUGCUGCUAAAUGUAAACCAUUUAUGAUGCCUUUAUGUUUCAGAUACAUUAAGCCUGUUUUAGAAUAGCAUUACUCAGUUUUAAAUUACUUUAAUACCUUCAGUGCAGUUUUCCCAGUUGCCAUCAGAACGACCAAUUCUGGUCCAGGGAGAGGAACUCAAAAGUUGGGCGUUUUGGUGGUUUCUUAAGUUUGCUUUUUAAAGCAGAGAAGCGUCCUUGUCAUCCUCCCUGCUACAGAUCCCACAAAGCCCUUUCCCCAAAGCCUUUGCUCUUCAGAAGCUUGGAUCCCAUCCAAUCCCUUUUUAGCCCUUGAAGGCUCUUAAAUACACCAAAAAAAAAAAAAAAUGCUGUCAAAGAAAUAUUUGUGCUCAGACAGUACUCAAAAUAGAUCUGGGAAGAUUUUCAGAUGUCUGUAUUAGGAGCGAGUAGAGCAGAAUGGAUGCAAUAAGCAGUGCUGUUUGGAUGUGAGUAGUUCUCCCCCAGCCAGUUGGCAGCCAGGUUUGGGAUGUGUGAUGGGCAGUGUGGACGUCACAGGACUGACACCAACGUCCAUGCAGCACUGGAGGCUGUUAGAUGAUUGCAAGAGGAUACAUGGGGGAGGAAACCCACGACCGCAUGCUUCUAACAGACCCUGCUGUAUGUUAAUGACAGCCCCAUUUAUUCAUGCUGGUGCACCCUGUGCUGGUAAGGCUAAUAUUGAUAGUUGCUGAGUCUCUUAAAGCCCACAAAUUAACUAACUACACACACCUAAAUGAGGGAAACACAGUUGUGGAGGAUGCUUUCUCUAAAACACUGACUCGUGUAAUUGAUGACAACAGUUUCCUUUUUAACUGGUUCCUGCUAGAUAUAGUGGGAGGCAGCAUGAAUUGCAUAUCCUCUAUUGCUAAGUGACAGCUAAGAUUAAGCAGAUGCUCACUGGGGUAUUAUCCCUUAUGCAAACAAAUGAUAAUUUCCCUCAUAAGCGACCUGACUCAUAAGGAAUUAUGUAUGUGUGGGCUGUGUCGUUUACACUGAGCCUCUUCCCCCCAGACAGGACACGUGGGGACUCCGUGCACAGCUCAGCAACAACCGCUCAACUCAUGAGAUGGUGAACACGGAUGAGCUGCCACGGCCUCGGCCAAGAAAGGCCAGGCUGUCCCAGGGGGUGCUUCUGGAGGUUUCUAUGGAGGCUUUGCUCCCAUCCGAGCCCCAGGGAGCAGUUCCAAGCAGCCGUCCUCAGGCACACAAGCAAAGCACAGGGCAUCACACUGACAGACCCUGAGCCCACUUUCCAUGCAUCUCCUGCAUCAGAGCUGCCAAAGAAGUCAGUGUUCGUUUGUCCCCCAUUUCUGUGUCUGUGGAUCCCACUUUUCCACCUGGUUGCCCCCAUUUUUCCCGUCCUUCUCCCAGCAGGUACAUACAGACAUUUAAUGAGGGGGGCAAGAGGAGAGCAGCAACCAUCAGUAAAGCAGCAAAUACAUUGUGAUGGAAAAGAUGUGGGGCUUAUUUCAGCCAGAGUCAACGCAAGGACUGCAUAGGGGCAGUUCAUUGUUCUGCUUUCAUAAAGUCAUUUAAGUAG